AUUGAACGCUGGCGGCAGGCCUAACACAUGCAAGUCGAGCGGAUGAAGGGAGCUUGCUCCUGGAUUCAGCGGCGGACGGGUGAGUAAUGCCUAGGAAUCUGCCUGGUAGUGGGGGAUAACGUCCGGAAACGGGCGCUAAUACCGCAUACGUCCUGAGGGAGAAAGUGGGGGAUCUUCGGACCUCACGCUAUCAGAUGAGCCUAGGUCGGAUUAGCUAGUUGGUGGGGUAAAGGCCUACCAAGGCGACGAUCCGUAACUGGUCUGAGAGGAUGAUCAGUCACACGGGAACUGAGACGCGCUCCAGCCUCCGCGGGGGGCAAGCGGUGGGGAUUUUUGGACAAAGGGGGAAGGCCUUACCCACCCGGCCCGGGUGUGUAAAAAAGGUUUUGGAAUUUAAAGGCAUUUUAAUUGGGGGGAAAGGGCAAUAAUUAAUUACCUUGGUUUUUUGACUUUCCCAAAAGAAAAGCCCCCGCCUAUCUUCGUC
rnacentral:rRNA from 1 species